rnacentral:rRNA from 1 species
AUUGAACGCUGGCGGCAGGCCUAACACAUGCAAGUCGAGCGGAUGAAGGUAGCUUGCUACCUGAUUCAGCGGCGGAUGGGUGAGUAAUGCCUAGGAAUCUGCCUGGUAGUGGGGGACAACGUUUCGAAAGGAACGCUAAUACCGCAUACGUCCUACGGGAGAAAGUGGGGGAUCUUCGGACCUCACGCUAUCAGAUGAGCCUAGGUACGAUUAGCUAGUUGGUGAGGUAAAGGCUCACCAAGGCGACGAUCGUUAACUGGUCUGAGAGGAGGAUCAGUCACACUGGAACUGGGACACGGUCCAGACUCCUACGGGAGGCAGCAGUGGGGAAUAUUGGACAAUGGGCGAAAGCCUGAUCCAGCCAUGCCGCGUGUGUGAAGAAGGUCUUCGGAUUGUAAAGCACUUUAAGUUGGGAGGAAGGGCAGUAAGUUAAUACCUUGCUGUUUUGACGUUACCAACAGAAUAAGCACCGGCUAACUUCGUGCCAGCCGCCGCUGUAAAAC